CCCUUAGAUGUUCUGGGCCGCACGCGCGCUACACUGACGAUGGCAACGAGUUUUUCCUUCGCCGAAAGGUGUGGGUAAUCUUUUGAAACAUCGUCGUGCUGGGGAUAGAUCAUUGCAAUUUUUGAUCUUGAACGAGGAAUUCCUAGUAAGCGCGAGUCAUCAGCUCGCGUUGAUUACGUCCCUGCCCUUUGUACACACCGCCCGUCGCUACUACCGAUUGAAUGGUUUAGUGAGGACUCCUGAUUGGCGCCGCCGCCCCGGCAACGGAGCAGCGGACUGCCGAAAAGUUGUUCAAACUUGAUCAUUUAGAGGAAGUAAAAGACGUAACA
rnacentral:rRNA from 1 species